CCUACGUGGGGCAGCAGUGAGGAAUAUUGGUCAAUGGACGAGAGUCUGAACCAGCCAAGUAGCGUGAAGGAUGACUGCCCUAUGGGUUGUAAACUUCUUUUAUAUGGGAAUAAAAUGUUCCACGUGUGGGAUUUUGUAUGUACCAUAUGAAUAAGGAUCGGCUAACUCCGUGCCAGCAGCCGCGGUAAUACGGAGGGUCCGAGCGUUAUCCGGAUUUAUUGGGUUUAAAGGGAGCGUAGGUGGAUUGUUAAGUCAGUUGUGAAAGUGUGGGGCUCAACCGUACAAUUGCAGUUGAAACUGGCAGUCUUGAGUACAGUAGAGGUGGGCGGAAUUCGUGGUGUAGCGGUGAAAUGCAUAGAGAUCACGAAGAACUCCGAUUGCGAAGGCAGCACACUGGACUGCAACUGACACUGAGGCGCGAAAGUGUGGGUAUCAAACAGGAUUAGAUACCCGGGUAGUC
rnacentral:rRNA from 1 species